rnacentral:lncRNA from 1 species
AGGGCCAAGCCUGGACAAGCAGUUGCCUGGCCCUUACCUCUCAUCUUAAUCAAUAUUUAAUAUCGAUUCUAAGACACAAGGCAAGAAGAUGGCAGUUUAGUAGCAGCAAAAGCUGGAAUCACUCCAAGAAUUCUCCUAAGACAGAAGAAUGCAAAAGAAGUUCAUGUUGGAUUUAAUUAGCCUCAGGGCUUGAGGAUGGAAGAAAGGACAGUUCUAGAACUCCAUGUUUUUUCCCUGUUAUGUGGCUGGAAGGUGAGGUGUGGAUGCUCAGUCCUCUUGAGACUACAAACAAGGAAAACCAAAGCAAGAACUAAAAUUCUUGUUAAGCUUUUCAAGGACUUGGAGAAAUUUGGAAACAUCAUGGGUAGAAUUGCCCUAAGGUCUACCUAUAGACAGACCAGGAGUGGUCAUUCAACAGUCUGGAAGUUCCCAGCUCCAAGAUUCACCCACUAGACAUACCUUACUUUAAAAUGCGUGAACCUGCCCUUUAUUUGCACUGAUUUCUCCAUCUUUUUUAUCUCAUCUCAUUUUGUUUCGCAACGUCAAGCAAUCAUGAAACCUUGGUUUGAAGGCAGCCAGAUGCCAAGGUGCAGAGGGCUCAAUAGGAGCCUGCUGUGACAAAAUCCAGUCUUCCCCAUCAGCAUCCAGCCCUGCACUGUGCCUUCUGAUGACAGACUCACAGUGCAACUCACAGUUGCUCUCGUCAGUGAUUUACAAGGAUUCCAAUGGACUGCAUUGCGUGACCAUAAAAUAAUGACAUUGGCUUUGAGAAAGAACAUGACAAAACUUAAAUAUCUAUGUGAAUGCUGUCCCCAUCCAAUCUGCAAAAAAAAAAAAGCAUUUUGAGAUCUCCUUCUAUGCAACUAUUUAUAUAGCACAUAGAAAAAAUCCAGAUGAUUAUAUUCACAGACCACACAGUCUUGGACCUAUGUCAUUUCCACCCCCUUUCUCUCUUUGAUUUGUCCUCUUCCUGCCUCACUACUUGCAGGCACAAGGAACUUGCUUGAUUUUUAGGUUUGUAUCCUCUUCAUUCAUUCAUUCAUUUACCCUAUUUCGUUUUACUCACUUGAUCUUCUGCUGGAAUUCAAAAAUCCCCAGAGAGGAGAGGGUCUCUUGUGUGAGGGCUGGGGCAGGGAGUGAAGGAAGGAGUUACACCAGAAAGCUGGAAGGGAAGGGUAGGCUGUAAGGAUCAGUGAGUUUCAGCGACUCCCCCAGUGUCAUUCAAAUGUCAAGUGGCAGAGUCAGGGUUUGAACCCAGAUCUUUUGACUUCAAAUUUUCUACUGCCCUCACUAAGGUACCUAUGACAUAGGUCCAACUUUGGGGAGUUUUUUGCUGCUAGAAGUAUACCAAAUGGAUAAGAUUUGGGAUAAUGGAUUGAGCACCAUGAAUAUAGCACAUCUAAGUAAAACUCUGGUGUAAAUCAUUAAUAAUAGUUAAUAUUUACAUAGCUCU